GGGAGCCCAAGGCUUUCCAAAGUCAUGCUGCCUACCACAGCUUGAGGAAGGAGAACUUAAAUUCCAUACUGUCAUCUGGGAUUUCAGUUCAACGUAAAGAAAGGAGUAGAGACGCUGAUGAGCAAGGUAGAAGAAUUGCCAUAUUAAUUCUAUGUACUCUGUGCAGAAUGUGUGCGCUGAUGCUUUGAAAAGGUGCUGAGCCUGGCUGGACCCUGCCACUGGAACACAGUGGCAGGAAGGAAAAAGCAGAAGAUGGAAACAGACUGGCCACCUGAGAAACAGAAUGGGCAGCUCCA